GACGAACGCUGGCGGCGUGCUUAACACAUGCAAGUCGAACGGAAAGGCCCUGCUUUUGUGGGGUGCUCGAGUGGCGAACGGGUGAGUAACACGUGAGUAACCUGCCCUUGACUUUGGGAUAACUUCAGGAAACUGGGGCUAAUACCGGAUAGGAGCUCCUGCUGCAUGGUGGGGGUUGGAAAGUUUCGGCGGUUGGGGAUGGACUCGCGGCUUAUCAGCUUGUUGGUGGGGUAGUGGCUUACCAAGGCUUUGACGGGUAGCCGGCCUGAGAGGGUGACCGGCCACAUUGGGACUGAGAUACGGCCCAGACUCCUACGGGAGGCAGCAGUGGGGAAUAUUGCACAAUGGGCGGAAGCCUGAUGCAGCAACGCCGCGUGCGGAAUGACGGCCUUCGGGUUGUAAACCGCUUUCGCCUGUGACAAAGCGUGAGUGACGGUAAUGGGUAAAGGAGCACCGGCUAACUACGUG
rnacentral:rRNA from 1 species